rnacentral:rRNA from 1 species
AUUGAACGCUGGCGGCAGGCUUAACACAUGCAAGUCGAACGAUGAAACUCUAGCUUGCUAGAGAAGAUUAGUGGCGGACGGGUGAGUAACAUUUAGGAAUCUGCCUAGUAGUGGGGGAUAGCUCGGGGAAACUCGAAUUAAUACCGCAUACGACCUACGGGUGAAAGGGGGCGCAAGCUCUUGCUAUUAGAUGAGCCUAAAUCAGAUUAGCUAGUUGGUGGGGUAAAGGCCCACCAAGGCGACGAUCUGUAACUGGUCUGAGAGGAUGAUCAGUCACACCGGAACUGAGACACGGUCCGGACUCCUACGGGAGGCAGCAGUGGGGAAUAUUGGACAAUGGGGGCAACCCUGAUCCAGCCAUGCCGCGUGUGUGAAGAAGGCCUUUUGGUUGUAAAGCACUUUAAGCAGGGAGGAGAGGCUAAUGGUUAAUACCCAUUAGAUUAGACGUUACCUGCAGAAUAAGCACCGGCUAACUCUGUGCCAGCAGCCGCGGUAAUACAGAGGGUGCGAGCGUUAAUCGGAAUUACUGGGCGUAAAGCGAGUGUAGGUGGCUCAUUAAGUCACAUGUGAAAUCCCCGGGCUUAACCUGGGAACUGCAUGUGAUACUGGUGGUGCUAGAAUAUGUGAGAGGGAAGUAGAAUUCCAGGUGUAGCGGUGAAAUGCGUAGAGAUCUGGAGGAAUACCGAUGGCGAAGGCAGCUUCCUGGCAUAAUAUUGACACUGAGAUUCGAAAGCGUGGGUAGCAAACAGGAUUAGAUACCCUGGUAGUCCACGCCGUAAACGAUGUCUACUAGCCGUUGGGGUCCUUGAGACUUUAGUGGCGCAGUUAACGCGAUAAGUAGACCGCCUGGGGAGUACGGCCGCAAGGUUAAAACUCAAAUGAAUUGACGGGGGCCCGCACAAGCGGUGGAGCAUGUGGUUUAAUUCGAUGCAACGCGAAGAACCUUACCUGGUCUUGACAUAGUGAGAAUCCUGCAGAGAUGCGGGAGUGCCUUCGGGAAUUCACAUACAGGUGCUGCAUGGCUGUCGUCAGCUCGUGUCGUGAGAUGUUGGGUUAAGUCCCGCAACGAGCGCAACCCUUUUCCUUACUUGCCAACGGGUUAAGCCGGGAACUUUAAGGAUACUGCCAGUGACAAACUGGAGGAAGGCGGGGACGACGUCAAGUCAUCAUGGCCCUUACGACCAGGGCUACACACGUGCUACAAUGGUAGGUACAGAGGGUUGCUACACAGCGAUGUGAUGCUAAUCUCAAAAAGCCUAUCGUAGUCCGGAUUGGAGUCUGCAACUCGACUCCAUGUAGUCGGAAUCGCUAGUAAUCGCAGAUCAGAAUGCUGCGGUGAAUACGUUCCCGGGCCU